GCAAGUCGAACGGCGGCACGGGUGCUUGCACCUGGUGGCGAGUGGCGAACGGGUGAGUAAUACAUCGGAACGUACCUUAUAGUGGGGAAUAACGCAGCGAACGCAUUGCUAAUACCGCAUACGCCCUAAGGGGGAAAGCGGGGGAUCGAAAGACCUCGCGCGAUUAGAGCGGCCGAUGUCUGAUUAGCUUGUUGGUGGGGUAAAGGCCCACCAAGGCGACGAUCAGUAGCUGGUCUGAGAGGACGAUC
rnacentral:rRNA from 1 species